rnacentral:tRNA from 1 species
GGAUGGGUGGCCGAGUGGUUGAAGGCACCGGUCUUGAAAACCGGCGUGGGCUUUGCCCACCGGGGGUUCGAAUCCCUCCCCAUCCG